GUGGGCAGGAGACACAUCCCUGGUCUGUGGUGAAACAUGGUUCGCGUGGCGAUUAUCUCGAGUGCUAGAAGAUACGUUUUGCACAGCGGCAUUAAGUUACAUAGAAGUACUUACGUGCGGUUACAUGAAACAUGCAGAAAACAGGACUGCAGCCGUUUCCACACACAAACUAUAAAUUAUGCCCAAAUUAAAAGAUACAAGAAAAAAGAGCCUGUUAAUCAAGAUCGCUUUUUCAGAUGGCAAGAUCUUUUAAGCUUCAUGUUUAAAUGGAAUGUAUUGAUUUUACUUGUGUAUUUACUGCAUUUACAACAGCAGAAUGAAAAUAAAAAAAAUCAAGCAAAAGCUGGAAAGACAGAUACAGCAACAAACAAUACAGUAGAAGGAAAAACAACCCAGGCCCCAAAAAGCUGAGAUUACUGUUCAAAAUGACUUAAAUAGUGGUAUUUUGACAUGAGAACAAUUUACAAACCGUUUUACACAAACUCGGAUAUAGUCCCCCAAAAAUUGCAUUUUUCAACAAUUUUUCUUCACCUGACUUUAAGUGAAUGAAUGGUUAUGUGUAUUUUCUGCUAUUUCACCUAACAUAAAAUGCAGUUUGUUGGGGGAUGGGGAUAGUGGGAUGGUAUUUCCUUUAAUAAGUGCAGGCUUCGUAAAAGGAAAAUGGAAAGUUAAGACAAUGCAAACAUAUACUGUAUCCUGUCUUUAGUCCUAAACCAUUCAAAGCAGACUUGGCUGUUAGCUCAAGAACCUACUUAAAUUGGGUGUGAAGAGAAGUUUUUAUCUCUAACACAUUUUAACAGUAUAACUGAAGACUUUUCAAAGGUCAAGGUCAUCAGCAGGCAAAUUUGGCUAGGAGUGCAUGAUCAAGGAUAUGCACACAGUAAACAAGAGGUUAGCAUUCCUGGAAAGCUGUCAAAAAAAGGGGACUUAACUGGAGUGAACUGAAAAUGUCUAAUAUGUUGCGUCUGCAUGUCAGUCACAAUAAUAUUAAUGUCUCAGGUAUCGUACUUUUCUAAUUCAGGCAAAGAAUGUCGGAAUGUUGUGAAUUUGUUGCCAUUUGAUCGAGAGAGCAACUAAUAUCUAGCAUUAGAAUAUACUUGACUUUAAUGUUGGUUUAAAGUUACUCUCUUCAAAGUGUGCAAUUAUCCAAUUUCCCAAUUUAAUGAAUGCAAAAAAUGUCUGACAUAAUCUUAAAAUGCCUGAAAUAGAGUCAUAUUAUAUCAGACAUGAUAUCUGGCUGGUGUCCAAUGUUUUUAGAAUUAUAUGAUCAAAGCAUGUUUUUUGAGAGUGAAUAUUUAUUUCAAUCUCAAGCACCCACUGAUAAAGUUGUGAUUAAAUAUGUUCUGUCAUA